AUUCUUUUUCUGUGGUCUUGGCUGAUUUCUUUUGAUUUUCUCAUGAUGUCAAGCGAAGAGGCACUGAGUUUGAAGGUUGGCCUUGAAAUACAUCCACAGACUCAAAUGAUGUCAAUUAGCCUAACAUAAGCUUCUAAAGCCACGACAUCCUUUUCUGGAAUUUUCCAAGCUGUUUAAAGGCACAGUCAACUUAGUGCAUGUAAACUUCUGACCCACUGGAAUUGAGAUACAGUGAUUUAUAAGUUAACUAAUCUGUCUGUAAACAAUUGUUGGAAAAAUUACUUGUGUCAUGCACAAAGUAGAUGUCCUAACCGACUUGCCAAAACUAGAGUUUGUUAACAAGGAAUUUGUGGAGUGGUUGAAAAACGACUUUUAAUGACUUCAACCUAAGUGUAUGUAAACUUCCGACUUCAACUGUACAAGCCAGUUUCAAUACAAAUUACUUAUACAAAAAAAGUACUCUAAUUUAUCAUAUUAUUUGACUUUAAAACAGAAUAAUUUAGUCUUUUUUUUCUUCUCCAAACCGGCAGAAGCUUUUCUCUUUUAUCUUUCUGUAAUGAAAAUAAAAAAAAAUAAAUAAAUGAAAUAAAUUCUUAUUUUUUAUUAUUAGAUGUGGUUGACACACCUCCACCACACUAAGGUGUUUUCCCAGAGCAAAAGCAACGAUUCCCCCACUAUUUUCAAUGGUGCAGAUGUGUUUGACACACCUCCACCAGAGCAACGUUCCUCACAGCAUUACAUAUUAUUUGUUUGACUGUGAUGAUUUCUGUUUUUUUUUUCAAGAACCUCUCUGUCUGAUGUGCAGAAGAAGACAACCAACUCUGACUCGCUACAAGUCCUCUUAGGUGUCUCAGAGGACACCCUCAUCACCUGUGUGCAGGACAGCCUGCAAGGAUCUCUCUCCAAACUUGCAUGCAUGUCCAAUUCUCCAUCUGGAAGUGCAGGCUCUCCGAAGAUGACCCCUGCUGUAAUGGCAGGAGUGAUUAAAGAUGUCAAGUCGGCCGUAUCAGUAGUCGUUAAGAGUGCCUCCGCUAGCCAAACCUCUCAAGUGACACCGGUAAGGGGAGAAGUUAGAAAGGACCACUGUCCUCAAAAGUCUAUGGAGUACCAGCCUCAGAACACUUCCCCUACUGUGUACUUUACAGAGUCGAGGACAAAUUCUCAUGGCUCCUUUGCUCCAGAGGGAAAUGACAUCGCAUAUUCCUUCCCACCUGAAGAGAAGAGUCGCAAACCCUCCCUUUUCACCAGAAUGUAUAGAGCCAUCACUAGAAGCUUCUCCAACCCAAGAUAAUUUUCCUCAUUAAAUGAGAUUGCAUUCAUUUGUUGUCAUAUGUUGACUGUUUUGCUAGCACAGACUGUAAUAUGUUCUGCGAUUCAUCCACAUGCAUUGAGGAGUAUACCACCUCAGUCACAGGCUACAUCAAUAAGUGGAUCGACAACGUCGUGCCCACAGUGACCGUAUGUACAUAUCCCCGACAGAAGCCAUGGAUUACAGGCAACAUCCACACCGCGCUAAAGGCUAGAGCUGCUUCUUUCAAGGAGCGGGACACUAAUCCAGACACUUAUAUGAAAUCCU
rnacentral:lncRNA from 13 species